rnacentral:rRNA from 1 species
GAUUAACGCUGGCGGCGUGCUUAACACAUGCAAGUCGAGCGGUAAGGCCCUUUCGGGGGUACACGAGCGGCGAACGGGUGAGUAACACGUGAGCAACCUGCCCCGAAGACUGGGAUAACACCGGGAAACCGGUGCUAAUACCGGAUGCCCUCCUCUGGUCGCAUGGCCUAGGGAGGAAAUGAAUUUUGCUUCGGGAGGGGCUCGCGGGCUAUCAGCUUGUUGGUGGGGGUAACGGCUCACCAAGGCGACGACGGCUAGCUGGUCUGAGAGGACGACCAGCCACACUGGGACUGAGACACGGCCCAGACUCCUACGGGAGGCAGCAGUGGGGAAUCUUGCGCAAUGGGCGAAAGCCUGACGCAGCAACGCCGCGUGGGGGA